rnacentral:tRNA from 1 species
GGGGCUAUAGCUCAGUGGUAGAGUGCAUGCUUAGCAUGUGUGAGGUCUUGGGUUCAAUCCCCAUUACCUCCA